UACGUAGGGUGCAAGCGUUGUCCGGAAUUAUUGGGCGUAAAGAGCUCGUAGGCGGCCUGUCGCGUCGGCUGUGAAAUCCCGAGGCUCAACCUCGGGUCUGCAGUCGAUACGGGCAAACUAGAGUAUUGCAGGGGAGACUGGAAUUCCUGGUGUAGCGGUGAAAUGCGCAGAUAUCAGGAGGAACACCGGUGGCGAAGGCGGGUCUCUGGGCAAUAACUGACGCUGAGGAGCGAAAGCAUGGGGAGCGAACAGG
rnacentral:rRNA from 1 species